rnacentral:misc_RNA from 1 species
UCUCCGUUGGUGAACCAGCGGAGGGAUCAUUACAGAGUUUUCUAAACUCCCAACCCAUGUGAAUCUUACCUAUCGUUGCCUCGGCGGGUCGGGCUGAUGCUUGGGAUGGCUACUCUGUAGCUACCCUGCAGAGGCCGCCGCCGGUGGGAAUUUAAACUAUUGCCAUGUAUUGUCAUCUGAGAGUCUUAUGAGAAUAAGUCAAAACCUUUAACAACGGAUCUCUUGGUUCUGGCAUCGAUGAAGAACGCAGC